GCCCAACCGAGGUGGGGGGAGGUGGGGUUCUGAGGACCCGGCUCACGUGACCUACACUGAGCGACGGGUUGCUGUGAGCCUCGAAAUUGGCCCGGAAAAUGCGCCCUCGCUUGCACACCUCUUUCCCCAUGAACUCGUUUCUCAUAAAGAGCACACCCCUAGAACGCCCCAAACGUGGCUGUUAGCAACACCUGGCUAGGUCCCGCCCAGUGCCAGUGACUCACUGUCUGCGGGAGGGGCCCGAGACUACGAGUUGUUAACCUCUCCAGGGUAGCACGUGAUGGAGUGGCGAAUGCCCUGAAGACAGAAGUCUGGAAACGCACCUUCCCGACCACAAGCACCUGAGCCUGGGGGUCGCCGCCACCCCCUCACCCCGGGCACACGGACGAGGUCUCAGGCCCUAACCUUAGCUGCGCAGAGCACCCAGCCCCCUUGGUCUCCCCCGCCCCCUCUCCCCCACUUCCUGCCCAGCUUUCAACUCGCGAUCCGCGGCUCGGCUAGGACUUUGUAAACACACCGCGCCUGCGGGGGCGGAGACUCAUUUUAUUUGGGCUCCGGAGCGAGUGGUUCUCGCCCCUCCCCGCGGCUGAAGGCUGCGACCCCACCCCUCAACUCCCCAAGACUGAAGCCGGAGGCUGCGGGGAGCGUCUUCGUCCACAAUAGAUGCUCCGGGGGGCUCACCUGCCAAGGAGCACUCCCUGCAGCCCUGCAUUCCUCAGAGGACUGUGGUUACUCGGCCACUUAGGAGGCGGGUGAUGGCGCCAGAAGCUGUCCGAAAUCUUUUGCCUGCCUAAUCUCACUCACCACAUCUUCAGGCCCUUCCCUUUUCCCUGAGCAGUAUCUGUUACAGAACCACAAGCUGGGAGAGUGUUCAGAUGUGGAGUCUAUUCUCAUCACAGUGGGAGAGGAUCUCAGGGUUACAGACUCUCGGAUGGCCUGGGUGGCUGAGCACAGGCCGAGCCUCCCUGGCCCUGUCUUUUUUCCUUCCAGUCAGCUGGUGCCUGCUGGUCCUUGGGGCAGCCUCCAUCUGUUCUUGGAAUGGACUUAACUUCCACCUCCAAGGCCGGGCUGUUUUACUUUCAGGUCUCUUGGUCUCCAAGGAAACGGAGUCUUUCCCUGCUCGGGCCCAGCCUCUUGAGUUCUAACCCAAACCUCCCUGUACAACCGCUAGGCGUGAGCUUGGUGCCUCCUGGGUGGUCCUCAGAAAGUCUUGCUUCUCCCGGCUCCUUCCAGGCCUUCCCUCUGACACAGUUUCUGGGAGUCCUUUUUGGUAUGCUUUGUAGGAAUCGAUGAUGUGGAUUUCUCUAAUCCUCAUUUCUUCCUGGCCCAAUGGCAGGGAAGAUGUUGGGGAUAAUAAUAGCAUAUCUUCGCACAAUACUUUCCCAUGCCAGGGCCUGUCGUAAGUACUAUAUAUGCCAUUUGUAAAGAAGUAAGUUUAUAAUAAAUAUGACAUUUAUUAACUCAUUCCUCACUUAUUCCUCAUAAGGAUCCCAUGUGGUUUCCUUAGUUUACAGAUGAAGAACUGAGGCCCAAAGAUUAAGGAACUUAACAGCUAGCCAGCCUGGAGAGCCUGGUGGCUGAAUGAACUCUGACCUGCCUUUCCAUGCACAUGGUGUCUGCGUGUGUCUGUGCACGCGUGUGUAUGUGUCCACCCACCAGGGGAAGUGUGAGACGACAAGUUUUAAGACCACGUCAGGAUAGGUAGAGCAGGCUGGGAGGCCUCUGUGUGUGAUGGUGGGUCUGUGUAUGACAGUGAUGGCG